rnacentral:rRNA from 1 species
UACGGAGGGUGCGAGCGUUGUCCGGAAUCACUGGGCGUAAAGGGCGCGUAGGUGGCGCGGUAAGCGUGCGGUGAAAGCCUGGGGCUCAACCCCGGGGUCGGCCGUGCGAACUGCCGGGCUUGAGCACUGUAGAGGCAGGCGGAAUUCCGGGUGUAGCGGUGGAAUGCGUAGAGAUCCGGAAGAACACCGGUGGCGAAGGCGGCCUGCUGGGCAGUUGCUGACACUGAGGCGCGACAGCCAGGGGAGCGAACGGG